rnacentral:rRNA from 1 species
UUUGAUCCUGGCUCAGGAUGAACGCUAGCGGGAGGCUUAAUACAUGCAAGUCGUACGGUAACAGGUCCUUCGGGAUGCUGACGAGUGGCGGACGGGUGAGUAACGCGUACGCGAUCUGCCUUCAAGAGGGGAAUAGCCCUGGGAAACCGGGAUUAAUGUUCCAUGGAUUGCUACUGUAGAGGGUAGUAAUUAAAGGGAGAGAUCUGCCUUGGAGAUGAGCGUGCGUGCUAUUAGCUGGUUGGUAUCAGGGUAACGGCCUACCAAGGCGACGAUAGCUAGGGGGCGUGAGAGCGUGGUCCCCCACACGGGUACUGAGACACGGACCCGACUCCUACGGGAGGCAGCAGUAAGGAUAUUGGACAAUGGGCGCAAGCCUGAUCCAGCCAUCCUGCGUGCAGGAAGACGGCCUUAUGGUUAGUUGUAAACUGCUUUUAUAAGGGAAGAAAGGUGAUCCAUUGAUGGACAUUUGACGGUA